GUCNAGCGGCAGCGGGAAAGUNGGCUUGCUACUUUUGCCGGCGAGNGGNGGACGGGUGAGUAAUGCCUGGGAAAUUGCCCAGUCGAGGGGGAUAACANNUGGNAACGACUGCUAAUACCGCAUACGCCCUACGGGGGAAAGCAGGGGACCUUCGGGCCUUGCGCGAUUGGAUAUGCCCAGGUGGGAUUAGCUAGUUGGUGAGGUAAUGGCUCACCAAGGCGACGAUCCCUAGCUGGUCUGAGAGGAUGAUCAGCCACACUGGAACUGAGACACGGUCCAGACUCCUACGGGAGGCAGCAGUGGGGAAUAUUGCACAAUGGGGGAAACCCUGAUGCAGCCAUGCCGCGUGUGUGAAGAAGGCCUUCGGGUUGUAAAGCACUUUCAGCGAGGAGGAAAGGUUGAUGCCUAAUACNNAUCAACUGUGACGUUACUCGNNNAAGAAGCACCGGCUAACUCCGUGCCAGCANCCNCNGNNNUACA
rnacentral:rRNA from 1 species